CACCAGUGCGCCAACCAGCACCACCAACACCAGUGCGCCAACCAGCACCACCAGCACCAGUGCACCAACCAGCACCAGUGCGCCAACCAGCACCACCACCCCCAUCAGCAAGUGCAACUACCAUCUGCAGCACCAACAACACAGAUGUUCAUAUAGGACCUUCCACUUCAAUAACCCAGCAUCAAUAUGGUUCAAUCAAGUGGUUUAAUGCUAAAAAGGCCACGAAGGACCUUCUUCUGGCCGUGUUUGGGAGGAGCAUACUUGCCAGCCACUCCUACACUGAAAACACUCCUACACAAAAAACAUUGAAUCACUUAAUCUUUGCGUUCAUACAAACCCUUGUACCAAAAAACCUUGUGCGUCAGGCAUUCUUGAGAUAUCACACUCAAGGUGGGUUUGGCCUUGACAUUUGACGUCAUCAUCGAGUCCAUACAACAGUCCAACAGUCCAAUGCUUUCCGGACUAAAGCAGCUAAACCCCAGCUUAACCCGGUCAAAGUGAGCGACAUUAUAAAUUACAUCACUAAACGGUUUGGGGUCGACCAGGGGGAGGUAAAGAAGGCCAUCUCCGAGAAAUGUACGGAUCAGGAAAAGAUGGAGAAGAGGCGGACACAUUGACUGACACACACUGAUUAUUUGUAACAGUAAUCAUUUUUGUUAUUGUUGUUAUUUCUUUGUUUGUUUGUUUUUUUGUUUAUUUAUUUAUAUUUAAUAAUAAAUAUAAUUACUUCA